AACGAACGCUGGCGGCAGGCUUAACACAUGCAAGUCAAACGGGGUAGCAAUACCUAGUGGCGCACGGGUGAGUAACGCGUGGGAAUAUCCCUCUCAGUACGGAAUAACCUCGGGAAACUGUGGCUAAUACCGUAUGGUCCCUUCGGGGUAAAGAUUUAUCGCUGAGAGAUUAGCCCGCGUAAGAUUAGCUAGAUGGUGGGGUAACGGCCUACCAUGGCUACGAUCUUUAGCUGGUCUUAGAGGACGAUCA
rnacentral:rRNA from 1 species